UCCAGACUCCUACGGGAGGCAGCAGUGGGGAAUAUUGGGCAAUGGGCGCAAGCCUGACCCAGCAACGCCGCGUGAAGGAAGAAGGCUUUCGGGUUGUAAACUUCUUUUAUCAAGGACGAAACAAAUGACGGUACUUGAUGAAUAAGCCACGGCUAACUACGUGCCAGCAGCCGCGGUAAUACGUAGGUGGCAAGCGUUAUCCGGAUUUACUGGGUGUAAAGGGCGUGUAGGCGGGACUGCAAGUCAGAUGUGAAAACCAUGGGCUCAACCCAUGGCCUGCAUUUGAAACUGUAGUUCUUGAGUGUUGGAGAGGCAGGCGGAAUUCCGUGUGUAGCGGUGAAAUGCGUAGAUAUACGGAGGAACACCAGUGGCGAAGGCGGCCUGCUGGACAAUAACUGACGCUGAGGCGCGAAAGCGUGGGGAGCAAACAGGAUUAGAUACCCCGGUAAA
rnacentral:rRNA from 1 species